CUCAAAGGAACCGACGGGGGCCCGCAUAAGCAGCGGAGCGUGUGGUUUAAUUCGAUGAUACACGAAGAACCUUACCAGGGUUUGACAUACAAGUGGUAGUGAAACGAAAGUGGAACGACCCUUCGGGGAGCUUGAACAGGUGCUGCACGGCUGUCGUCAGCUCGUGUCGUGAGAUGUUCGGUUAAGUCCGCUAACGAGCGCAACCCUUGUCGUGUGUUACACGUAUCACGCGAGACCGCCGGUAGAAAGCCGGAGGAAGGUGGGGAUGACGUCAAGUCAGCAUGGCCUUUAUAUCCUGGGCUACACACACGCUACAAUGGGUGGUACAGUGGGAAGCGAAAGCGCGAGCUGGAGCGAAUCCUCCAAAGCCAUCCUCAGUUCAGAUUGCAGGCUGCAACUCGCCUGCAUGAAGAUGGAGUUGCUAGUAAACGCAGGUCAGCGAUACUGCGUUGAAUACGUUCCCGGGCCUUGUACACACCGCCCGUC
rnacentral:rRNA from 1 species